AGAUCAUGAUGUGGACACUUGCGCAAUAAGUCCUUGUAUCUCUCCCAUGUCUCAUAUAAUGAUUCACCUUCAAGUUGGGAAGGUAGUAAUAUCAUUCCUUAACUU